GGCACGAAAGCAUGGGGAGCAAACAGGAUUAGAUACCCUGGUAGUCCAUGCUGUAAACGAUGUCGAUUUGAAGGUUGUAGCCUUUGAGCCAUGGCUUUCGAAGCUAACGCGUUAAAUCGACCGCCUGGGGAGUACGACCGCAAGGUUAAAACUCAAAUGAAUUGACGGGGGCCCGCACAAGCGGUGGAGCAUGUGGUUUAAUUCGAUGCAACGCGAAGAACCUUACCUACUCUUGACAUCCAGAGAAUUUAGCAG
rnacentral:rRNA from 1 species